AUUGAACGCUGGCGGCAGGCCUAACACAUGCAAGUCGAGCGAGCGGCGGACGGGUGAGUAAUGUAUGGGGACUGCCCGAUAGAGGGGGAUAACUACUGGAAACGGUGGCUAAUACCGCAUACUAUCGGAUAACCCAUAUGGGAUUAGCUAGUGGGUGGGGUAAAGGCUCACCUAGGCGACGAUCUCUAGCUGGUCUGAGAGGAGGAUCAGCCACACUGUGACAUGAACCCGGCCCAUGAUCCUACGGAGGCAGCCGGCGCGAAUUUGGCACAAUGGGCGCCAGCCUGAUGUAGCCAUGCCGCGUGUAUGCCGAAGGCCUUAGGGUUUUAAAGGACUUUCAGCGAGGAUGCGUUACCCGCAGAAGAAGCACCGGCUAACUCCGUGCCAGCCGCCGCGGUAAUAC
rnacentral:rRNA from 1 species